rnacentral:rRNA from 1 species
GCCCUUAGAGUUUGAUCCUGGCUCAGGACGAACGCUGGCGGCGUGCUUAACACAUGCGAGUCGAGGGGGCCCCCGGCUCUAACCUUUUGGUUAGAGCCGGACCAGGCUUACCGGCGGACGGGUGAGUAACACGUGGAUGACCUACCCCAAAGUCGGGGAUAACAGCCCGAAAGGGCUGCUAAUACCGGAUAAUCCCAUGAUGGUGCAUGCCAUAUUGGGUAAAGGCCGUAAGGCUGCUUUGGGAGGGGUCCGCGGCCCAUUAGCUAGUUGGUAGAUUAAAGGCCUACCAAGGCGACGAUGGGUAGCCGGCCUUAGCGGGUGGUCGGCCACACUGGGACUGAGACACGGCCCAGACUCCUACGGGAGGCAGCAGUGGGGAAUCUUGCGCAAUGGGCGAAAGCCUGACGCAGCGACGCCGCGUGAGUGAAGAAGGCCUUCGGGUUGUAAAGCUCUUUAUAGGGGGAAGAACUCAGACGGUACCCCUUCAAAAAGCCCCGGCCAACUACGUGCCAGCAGCCGCGGUAACACGUAGGGGGCAAGCGUUGUCCGGAAUUACUGGGCGUAGAGGGCGCGCAGGCGGCUCUGCAAGUCAGUUGUGAAAGCCCGUGGCUC